rnacentral:rRNA from 1 species
GAUGAACGCUGGCGGCGUGCCUAAUACAUGCAAGUCGAGCGAACGGACGAGAAGCUUGCUUCUCUGAUGUUAGCGGCGGACGGGUGAGUAACACGUGGAUAACCUACCUAUAAGACUGGGAUAACUUCGGGAAACCGGAGCUAAUACCGGAUAAUAUUUUGAACCGCAUGGUUCAAAAGUGAAAGACGGUCUUGAUGUCACUUGUAGAUGGAUCCGCGCUGCAUUAGCUAGUUGGUAAGGUAACGGCUUACCAAGGCAACGAUGCAUAGCCGACCUGAGAGGGUGAUCGGCCACACUGGAACUGAGACACGGUCCAGACUCCUACGGGAGGCAGCAGUAGGGAAUCUUCCGCAAUGGGCGAAAGCCUGACGGAGCAACGCCGCGUGAGUGAUGAAGGUCUUCGGAUCGUAAAACUCUGUUAUUAGGGAAGAACAUAUGUGUAAGUAACUGUGCACAUCUUGACGGUACCUAAUCAGAAAGCCACGGCUAACUACGUG